AACUCUCUUCUGCAUGAAGCUGAGAAAAGUCCAUGGUGGACUUCCUUUUCAGAAAUUCAAAGAAAUUAUGGUUUCACAGGAUUCAGCAAAGCUUUGCCCAAAAUGUUCAGUUAGGCUUUUAAUUAGCAGGCCUUUUACAGUUUUUUUUUUUGAGGGGUGGAGGGGGAAAGCUACAUCAGUGGUGAGGACAUUGCUCAAAAAGCUCUCGCAUCCCCUGGGAAUUGCUAAGCUCACUUUUCCAUCUCUUAUGUAUAGGAAUCAAGAGGCAAGCAGAAUAAAAGCAAAACUCAGCUUGAAAGCACAUAGUGAAAUCCAUUGAAAUAUUAAGCAAGCUCCUCUUUCCUCAGGCCAAACUCAUCCAUUAACCUGAAGCAGUCUUCAGAGACAUGCUUUUCAUUCCACUGCUGUUUCCAACAGCCUUUUUCAUUUUCAUCUCUCUGGUACAUUUUAUAGUAUGAAAUAGGAAAAUGUUACCAGUCCAUAAGAAAAGGUUACUGCCUCACCUUCUGAAUUCAAUUUCCUGUUCAGUUGCUGACGAGCUCUGUAACUGAGUAGAGAUGAUCGAUUUACUAGGCAACAAGAUUUUGUGGCAAUCCUACUGUGAAAAACAAGCAAGGACAAUGCCCUUUCCUUUAUAUGAAGAUUUACCAUUAGGACAUCUUGAGUUUGUCAGCUGAUGACAGUAUCAAAGAAAGAUUUUCUUUACAUGUAGGCGGUAUUCUUCUGGACCUGACAGCAUCAGCAUCACUGAAGUAUGAAGAGUCUGAUCCUAUCAAUACAAAAUAAAGAAGAAGGAAAAAAACCAAACCACACCAAAAAAGGGCAAGAAAUUUGGACUGCACUGUAAAAGUAGACAUCCAAAGCUUCCUUCUUUCAGAGUGAGCAGCUGUGGUUAUUAUCACAAACCUGUAAGUACAGGUGGAAGUCUAGGGAUUUCUUAAGCCUUCCUCUUAAUAUAGUAAAAGUAUCGCCCCUGAAAAUUUCUUCCUUUCUGAAGACAAAAAAAUUAACUUUUUCUGCAAAAUACAUGUGUGAGAUUCCUGAAAAGUAUGAGAAUGGGUGACUGACCCCCGCAAUGGAGGAAUGUCCAGAGAUGGUGGGCAAGAAUAAUGCGCUGAAGGAAAAAUGUAAGGAAAAACAAUGAAUUGUCAUA